rnacentral:lncRNA from 1 species
CUAGCAUUAAAAAGUACUUAUUUCUUUAGAAUUCUGGUACAUCAGCUAUAAUAACCCGCAGCAGGAAAUCAACCAGUCCUUGAUUUUUCUAAUUUCUGUUGGCUGAGAGCCUUUAUUGGGACAUUCUAUUAAAUUUCCUUUCUAUCUACAUAGAGAGAUUCAUUCUAUAUUUGAGAUAUGUUUAUCUAGAGAACCUGUACUAAUCCAACUGUGGUUUUUCUCUAUUUCGCCACUGAUGAAGAUGUGCUGUCUAUUAAGAGGGCACAACAGUGUUUCCCUUAUGUUUCUGGCUUUUCUCCCAGGGUUAUUUAAUGCCUAUCAUUGGUGAAAGGGUGCUGUGGUUUCCCUGAGCCCAGCAUGAAGCCACAAAUCAAAACUCUCGUUUCCUAAAAAUCCCUCUUUAAUGUUAAUUGCCUAGGCAUUCUUCCACUCAGUGGGUCAGAUUGAUACCUACACUGCACAGGAGUAAUGGGCUAUGUAAGCCAUUCACCUUGAUUUCAGGAAGAAGAGGGCAAGUAAGCUCAGGAAAGCUCAGGUAAGGUCUGAAGUCAGGCCCUUGUAAGUGCAGGAUCAUUACUCACAGAGGGAGGAGCAGGCAGCUGAAUAGCCUAAACUGGUCUGGAUGCAGUGACUUAUGAUGCUGUGCAUGUGAACUUUCCUAGGGAAGAGUAGAAUUUGCUGGAUCCUUCCUAGAAGAGUCUCUACAAAGAUGUGAUGCAGGAAACCUACUUGGACCUCACUGUUAUAGGCCACACUUGGGAAGACUAUCAUAUUGAAGGACAUUGUCAAAGUUUGAGAAGACAUGAAAGGUAAUCUUCAUGUGCACUCUGAUACGCAUAUGGCUCUGAGGAAAUUUUAAUAUGUUCUGGAAGCUCUAAAGAAAAGCAAGAGUGCCGGGCAGUAGUGGCGGACACCUUUAAUCCCAGCACUUGGGAGGAAGAAGCAACACAGGUAACCUAGCAACGUUUUACAUGACAAAGCCUUGCCUGCCUUCCUGCUCUCAGAUUAGCCUGGGGAUCACACCCACCCCACACCCAC